rnacentral:rRNA from 1 species
UACGAGGGGGGCAAAUGUUGUUCGGAAUCACUGGGCGUAAAGGGAGCGUAGGCGGGUUCUUAAGUUAGGUGUUUAAUCCCGGGGCCCAACCCCGGACCGGCACUUAAAACUGGGAAUCUUGAAUAGUGGAGAGGUCAGUGGAAUUGGGGGUGUAGCGGUGGAAUGCGUAGAGAUCCCCAAGAACACCAGUGGCGAAGGCGGCUCACUGGCCCAAUACUGACGCUGAGGCACGAAAGCGUGGGGAGCAAACAGG